CAGAAGAGAAGGAUGAUAAAAUUUCAGUUAAAAGGUAAAAACUAACGAUUAUAUGAGCGAUGGCAAACAAUAUUCUAAGUAGAAGGAAAGUUUUCUUGUACCUUUUGUAUCAGGGUUGGAGGAGAAAGGCAAUUUAUUAAUUGAUUCCCGAAAAUGAAAGAUUUUUAAAACUGCAAAGUUAACGUUCAAAUGUUAAGGAAAAUGGUUUUAAGGGAGCGAAAAGUUAGACGAUUUCAUUGAUAUCUGGUUUCUUGAAAAAUCGUUGAGGGAUAAGCUUCAACUGGUCGGAGAAUCUUUCUCAUAAUUACUUUAUUAAAACUGUAUGUUGAUUUCUCUCCAUUUCCGUCUGGUAGGAAACUUCUUUAAAUUUCUAAAAGAAGAAUAUAAUCUCCAAAUUAGUAUUUACUUAAUUCUAGGAAAAGGAAUUCGGCAAAGAGGACCUGGAAUGUUUAAUAAAAACAUUUCUUUUAUAGAAAAUUAUAAGUAAGCCCUGCUCACUGCUUAGAGUAAAUAGCCGCGGUAUUUUGACCGUGCUAAGGUAGCAUAAUAAUUUGCCUUUUAAUUGAAGGCUAGAAUGAAAGGGUAAACCGAGGUUCAACUGUCUCUUCUUAGAGAGAAGAAUUUCAACUUUGAGUGAAAAUGCUCAAAUGUGUUAGAGGGACGAGAAGACCCUUAGAUCUUUCUCAAGGCCCUUUAAGGCUGAGAGUUACCUGGGAGGGGGCUAUACUUCAAACUUUAGGUUACUAAAAGAAAUUUAAUUCAAAUAUGAUGAUCCUUGUUGGAUAAAAGAAUAGAUACCUAAGGGAUAACAGCGCUAUUUUCUUUUUUUAGACCACUUAAAAUAAAGAAGCUUGCGACCUCGAUGUUGAAUUAAGUUAAAUUGAAUUAGAAAAAGAAUUCUUAUUUAGUCUGUUCGACUAUUAAAAACUUACAUGAUUUGAGUUUAGACCGACGAGAGUCAGGUCAGAUUCUAUCUUCUAUGAUAUUUUACCUUUUAGUACGAAAGGACCAAAGGUAAUAAUUUGUAAUUAUCCAGACAUUUAU
rnacentral:rRNA from 1 species